GAUGAACGCUGGCGGCGUGCCUAAUACAUGCAAGUCGAGCGGACCAAAGAGAGCUUGCUCUCUGAGGUUAGCGGCGGACGGGUGAGUAACACGUGGGUAACCUGCCUGUAAGACGGGGAUAACUUCGGGAAACCGAAGCUAAUACCGGAUGAUAAAGAGAAACGCCUGUUUCUUUUUUGAAAGUCGGCCUUGUGCUGACGCUUACAGAUGGGCCCGCGGCGCAUUAGCUAGUUGGUGAGGUAACGGCUCACCAAGGCGACGAUGCAUAGCCGACCUGAGAGGAUGAUCGGCUACACUGGGACUAGGACACGGCCCAGACUCCUACGGGAGGCAGCAGUAGGGAAUCUUCGGCAAUGGACGAAAGUCUGACCGAGCAACGCCACGUGAGCGAUGAAGGCCUUCGGGUCGUAAAGCUCUGUUGUCAGAGAAGAACAAGUACCGGAGUAACUGCCGGUACCUUGACGGUACCUGACCAGAAAGCCACGGCUAACUACGUGCCAGCAGCCGCAGUAA
rnacentral:rRNA from 1 species